CUUUGUGUACGUCCCGUUAGUGUUAUCGGAUACCGUUAGUGAAGCUAUUUUUUCCCGCAUUAGUGUCGCGCGUGAACUAAAUACAGUGUUCGCGAUAGCAGUGAAGAAAAUUUCACUUCAGCCAAAAUUGGCAAAGCGUCUGGCUUUUGGUUUUCACCAUAUCAUCGCCAUUACUAUCGGCAUCAGACAUCGGUGGUCAAUCCUAGUGAUCCCCGAUAAUCGUUCGAUUAAUCGAUUAAUCGAAUACUUCCUACAGAUAUCGAUUAUUAAUCGAACGAAUACUGAACAACCAAUAAUGGAAGCGAACGAAUAAUUUACGUCGAUUAAUCGAUCCAAGCCCAGAGCAAAAUAAAAGCGGAAUGAACGCUUUUUAGUUUCCAGAUGGCUUUCUAACAAAUGAGAAAUAUUAAUCUAACUAAUUAUUUCUCUCAGUAUGACGAUUAAUCGAUUAAUCGAUUAUUUGGGGCGAUUAAUCGUAUCGAAUAACAAACUGCUGAAAAGUAUUCGAUUAGUGGAUGAACGAAUAAUUUCAAAAAUCAGGGAUCACUAGUCAAUCCCACACAGUGUGAAAGCGUGAAGAAGCACUUUUUGGUGGUGGUAGUGUUCGAUUGCCAUCUCACUUGCGCGGAGCGCCCAGCACGCAAUCAACCGUGCGUCAAGUUCAACUGCACCGGUGGGUGCGUUUAGAUAAGAACUUCCUCGACGACGGAUUUAGCGGUAUUUUUGUCAGAUAGUUUGAUAGACGAGGUUCUCUUCUCGAAUCCAGAUCGUCGAACACAUCAGGUAAGGCUUUUACCGCUGAGUUAUAUUAGGGGUAGAGAAUGUCGAUUAAGAGAAUCAAUCAAAACAGACAGACCCUAUUGAAAAGUUAGGCGUGAUUUGUUUGUUAUGCUAUAUACUUCCCACAUUCCGUUUUGCCUGCCAAGAUCGGGUCGAUGAAAUGUCAACAAUCGACCUCAAAUGCUGCCACCUUGCAAUCGAGUUAUCGACCUUUCAUAUGCAUUCAUCGAACAACUUGACACCACUUUUUCGCCAACAUGUGCAAGGCGUCGACCUGCUUGCAGCACGGCUUGCUGCUCGUUUGUAUUGGUUUGUUAUUGAAAAUGAAAAGGAAAUACAUUGAUCGAUUUUAAUAAUUUUAUUGAAAAAAAAUAAUAAAAAUCCAUGUAUAAUAAAAAUAAGGUAUAUAAUGGAAUCGGUGCAUCCGGGUUGUCUGGAUUGACGAUUCAAAUCCGACUGAGUACAUUGAUGAAUACCUCCUUGCCCUUGAUGACACAGAUAUGUGGCUGAGGAGGAUUCUUCAAUGUGCGUGAAGCACGGGAUCUCCGAUGGGGAAUAUUGCUCGAAAUACUAUCGAUGGCCAGGUCCUGCUGCUGUUACUGUUGAUGCUGUUCCCCGGAAUAGCACCCUGGACUUAAAGGAUACUGCUGCGGGAAAGCUGAUGCUGUUGGCUGGCGUGACAGAAGUGGAAAUAAGCAAUGUGGUGAUGAGGGAAAUCAUCUUUCUCACUCGCCGAUUGAUUGAGUCGGAUGUAUUCAUAGCUGAAACAAAAUAAAAUGAUUAGUAAGUGAAAAGCAGAAAUGAAUUCCCUACUCACCAGUUGUAUGAUCCGGAUAAAAAUGCGAACAUUAAAAUAUCAUGCGAUUACGUUCGCUUACCUCGCCUAUUUUCAUUCUACUAUACAACGGAAUCAGUGUAUUCGGGUUCCUCCGGGUGGUAAUUCAGCUGAGCAAGUUGAUAAAUACCUCCUUGUCGUUGAGUUUUCGUGUCUGAAGAGGAUUUUUGAAUGUGCGCGAAGCACGGAACCUCUAAUGGGGAAAGUUCUUCGCAAUACCAUACCAUGGUCAAAUUCUGCUGCUGCUACUGUUAAUGCUGUCCCCCGGCAUUGCCAACAGGGGUUGGAGGUUACUGCUGCAGGAAAACGGAUGUUGUUGGCUGCUGUGAUAGAAGUGGAAAACCGUACUGUGAUGAUGGGAGAAAUCAUCUUUCUCACUUACCGAUUGAUGGAAGCAAACGAGUUGAAUGUAUUCAUAGCUGAUAAGACAAGAUAAAAUAAUUAAUAAUUGAA